rnacentral:lncRNA from 1 species
CUGAGGCUCAUUCUGGGAAGGAUCUGGGUGCACUGUAGACACUAAGCCUGUCUUUUGUCCUGCCAGGCAUUGUGGUGAGCUCCCCAACAAGUCCAUCAUCCCCAGGUGAGUGAUUCCCUCCUACACCCCCAGAAACCUGAGCAUGGGGAGUGGACGUGCUCUGCAGCCUUCCCCAGGGCAUGGGGACAAGCAGGAGCUUCACCAGGCAGGAGCUGUGCCAGCUGCACGGGCACGUCUUGCUCCCUGCCUCUCCCCACCCUGCUGCCCUCACAUCCUCUCUCUCACAGCUCGCCAUGCCCGGAUCCCGCACACCCUCUCCACAAGCAUGGCGCUGGCAGUGGCAGCCAUCGGCCUCGUCCUCCUGGCUGCAGGCAGCUGGUUUGCCAUCAGGAAAGGCAGCAGCACGUUGACAGCCCACAGAUGGAAACCACAGACCACGACGAAGUCCCAUACUCCACGAUCGCCCAUGUUCGACGGGACAGGCAGAUGAGCGACACCACGACAUAUGCCACGGUGACCCACACCCACACCCGAUAGCACUGCAACAGGGCAAGGGCACAGGAGCCUUGUCCACAGAUGCCUUUUCUCUCCUGCAGAGUUCUUGUGCAGCCAUAACGUGGGGCUGCGGGGUGCACUUUGGGCUUCUCUGGAAUUUUCUGUCACAGGGAAGGGCUGUGUGUGUCUAGCCAAGAGGCUGAAGGACUCAUAUUUCUGUUUGCAAUAAAUUAAUACCUCUAAAAUAUAUCA